ensembl:lncRNA DPY19L2P2 DPY19L2 pseudogene 2
GCAUGCGCCCCACCCUACAUUUCACAGUCGCCAUGACGACCAGGAGGUCCGCUAGUCAACGGCUCGUCAACGGCUGCGGGGACAAGUCCGUUGAGGCUGCCAGGCGAGUCAGGCCUUUCUGGACCUCGCCUGACUCGGCUGGGCUGUGCCUGAAAUUGACCCAGCUCCACUAGGAAUUAUGAAGAAACAAGGAGUAAGCCCAAAGCCGCUGCAAUCUUCCCGCCCCAGCCCGUCUAAGCGGCCCUGCGGGGCCUCCCCCGCCCGGGAGCGGGAGGUGGAAAAGUCGGCCCUAGGCGGCGGGAAACUGCCGGGGGGCGCCAGGAGGUCCUCCCCGGGGAGGAUCCCAAAUCUGAAAAAGCGAAAAGGCUUGGAGCUAAAGGUGGUGGCCAAGGCCCUUCUCGGCCCCUUCCAGUUCGUCUGUAAUUCCCUGGCGCAGCUCCGGGAAGAGGUGCACGAACUGCAGGCGCGGUGGUUCCCCAGCAGAACCACUCUGCAUCGCCGUCUUUGUGGCAAUUCUACAUUGGUUACAUUUAGUAACACUUUUUGAAAAUGAUCAUCAUUUCUCUCACCUCUCAUCUUUGGAACGGGAGAUGACUUUUUGCAUUGAAACGGUUAGGUUUCUUCUUCUAACGAAUUAAUUUGUGGUUUAAGAAUAGCCAGACCGAGAGGUGACAGCAUGCUGGCAGUCCUCAGAGCCCUUGCUUGCUCUCGGCACCUCCCCUGCCUGGGCUCCCGCUUUGGUGGCAUUUGAGGAGCCCUUCAGUCCCCCACUGCACUGUGGGAGCCCCUUUCUGGGCUGGCCAAGGCCGGAGCCCACUCCCUCAGCUUGCAGGGAGGUGUGGAGGGAGAGACACGAGCGGGAACCGGGGCUGUGUGCUGCACUUGCGGGCCAUCUGGAGUUCCGGGUGGGCGUGGGCUUGGUGGGCCCCGCACUCAGAGCAGCCAGCCAGCCCUGCUGGCCCCGGGCAAUGGGGGACUUAGCACCUGGGCCAGUGGCUGCGGAGGGUGUACUGAGUCCCCCAGCAGUGCUGGCCCACCGGCGCUGCGCUCGAUUUCUCGCUGGGCCUUGGCUGCCUUCCCACGGGGCAGGGCUCGGGACCUGCAGCCCGCCAUGCCUGAGCCUCCUACCCAAUCCAUGGGCUCCUGUGCGGCCUGAGCCUCCCCGACGAGCACCACCCCCUGCUCCACGGCGCCCAGUCCCAUCGACCACGCAAGGGCUGAGGAAUGCGAGCGCCCGGCACAGGACUGGCAGGCAGCUCCACCUGCAGCCCCAGUGCAGGAUCCACUAGGUGAAGCCAGCUGGGCUCCUGAGUCUGGUGGGGACGUGGAGAGUCUUUAUAUCUAGCUCAGGGAUUGUAAAUACACCAAUCAGCACCCUGUGUUUAGCUCAAGGUUUGUGAGUGCACCAGUCAACACUCUGUAUCUAGCUGCUCUGGUGAGGGCGUGGAGAGUCUUUAUGUCUAGCUCAAGGAUUGUAAAUACACCAAUCAGCACUCUGUGUCUAGCUCAAGGAUUGUAAAUACACCAAUCGGCACUCUGUAUCUAGCUCAAGGUUUGUAAACACACCAAUCAGCACCCUGUGUUUAGCUCAAGGUUUGUGAGUGCACCAGUCGACACUCUGUAUCUAGCUGCCCUGAUGGGGACGUGGAGAACCUUUGUAUCUAGCUCAGGGAUUGUAAACGCACCAAUCAGCGCCCUGACGAAACAGGCCACUCGGCUCUACCAAUCAGCAGGAUGUAGGUGGGGCCAGAUAAGAGAAUAAAAGCGGGCUGCCCGAGCCAGCAUUGGCAACCCGCUCGGGUCCCCUUCCACACUGUGGAAGCUUUGUUCUUUCGCUCUUUGCAAUAAAUCUUGCUACUGCUCACUCUUUGGGUCCACGCUGCUUUUGUGAGCUGUAACACUCACCAUGAAGAUCUGCAGCUUCACUCCUGAGCCCAGCGAGACCACGAGCCCACCGGGAGGAACGAACAACUCCAGACACGCCACCUUAAGAGCUGUAACACUCACCGCGAGGGUCCACCGCUUCAUUCUUGAAGUCAGUGAGACCAAGAACCCACCAAUUCCGGACACAAGACUAUGAGGUAGAAAUGUAUUAGGAAUUGAAAUGAACUUUUGGCGAACUGCACUGUUUCAUAAGCUAUUACCCAGGUUUAUUAUUUAAAUAGUAAAGUGUUUGAGAUUAUUUUUCUGUUACUUCAUUAUCUCUCACCCUUUCCUAAUGCAGACUUCUUUUUAAGGUAAUAAAGAUGAAUUAUAAUAGCUGAGGAAGGAGGACAAAGAAAGCACUGAAGAAGUGAUAAAGGGGAAUGAAAUGAGAUGUUAUCAGAAAUUGCUUUCUCUUUGGCUACGGUUAGGAGAUCCCAUGUUUUACCUGGGCCUUUUAAUGAUGACGAUUAUUAUUUGGCUCUCUUUUGAUUUCAAGAUAAUCUCUUUUAAGAGAUAACUUUUGAUAUAGUUUUUAAAUAAUUUUCUGUUUUUCAAUACUUAAUCUUAAAAAUGGAGUUUUCUGCCGUACGUAUCUCACAUAAUUAUUGUGAGGAGUAAGUGGGAUAGCAAAUGCCAAAAUUGCGCAAUUUUACAUUUAGAAGACAGCACAACCGUCCAUCUUCCAGAUCUGCUCACAGCUGGUCGGGGGCCUAGUGAAGCAUUGAAACUGGCUCUCCUCAGUCUAGCCAUUGCUUUUUGUUUAAAUUAUAGUAAAAUUUAGAUUUAAAUUUGUAAUAAAAAAUUUCAAUGUUUAUCAUUUAAGUGUACAAUUCAGUGACAUUAAGUACAUUCAUGUUGUCUUGCAACUAUUAACCACUGUCCACAUCCAGAACAUUUUGCUAUCCCAAACAGAAACUCUACCCACUAAACACUAAUCACACCCAGCUCUAUUUUCUGUCUCUGUGAUUUUGCCUAUGCCAGGUCCCUCAGUCACUGCUUUUUAAUUUUCAUCCCUAUAUUGCCCCAUAAAGUUUCAAAGCAUUGGAUACAUUAACAUAUGUAUGACAUUUGAACAUUUUAAAGGUAUUUCCAAAGACAGAAUAUAAAAUAUUAUUAAAUAAAGAGUGUAACUG